rnacentral:rRNA from 1 species
UUCGCCUGUUUUUCAAAAACAUGGUUUUUUGUUUGGAUAAAAAAUCUGGUCUGCCCAAUGAUAGGUAAUUAAAUGGCCGCGGUAUAUUGACCGUGCGAAGGUAGCAUAAUCAUUUGCUUUUUAAUUGAAGGCUAGAAUGAAUGAUUGGACGGAAAAAGUCUGUCUUAAUUUUAAAUUUUAAAUUUUACUUUUUAGUGAAAAGGCUAAAAUUUUAUCAAGGGACGAGAAGACCCUAUUAAGCUUUAUUUUUGUUUGUUUUUUAUUAUGCUUUUCGUUAUAAAAAAUGGAAGGAAUUUUACUGGGGCGGUAGAGAAAGAAGAGAAUCUUUUUUUAGAAAUUAAAACAUUUAUGUAAAUUUUUGAUCCAUUAUUAAUGAUAAGAAGAAGAAGUUACUAUAGGGAUAACAGCGUAAUUUUUUCGGAGAGUUCAUAUCGGCGAAGAAGUUUGCGACCUCGAUGUUGAAUUAAGAAGUCAAUAGGGCGAAGAAGUUCUAAAUGAGGGUCUUCGA